UCCUCCCACCCUCCUCCCUCAAGCAGGCCCCAAUGUCUGUUGUUCCCCUCUUUCUGUCCCUGUGUUCUCAUCUCCGACAUAUAAAUGAAAACACGCGUAGUUUACUACUGGUUUCGUUUUCAAUGGUGGUGAAAGAAACAUCACGCUGAAUUGGCCCUUAGGACACUCCCCCGCCCCCACACCAAGCCCAGGGAGGAAGACCGACUGAAAGUAAGAGCGCUACUCUCGCAUUAGGGACGCGAGGAAACUUCCAGCUCCGCUUUUGCCACGUUCUCCCACUGGAUUCGACAAGAUUACUGUGAAACAGUCUCUACAAGGCAAGUUAAGUUUGCCCGAUAAAGUUCAGAGAAUAAUCCAGAAAGCCUCAUGGGAGAGGGUGGUCAGUACUCUAACCACGCCCACCCCUCCCUCCCUCCCUCUCAACUGAGAGCCGACUCCAACUUCUCAACCACUUUGUUUUACGAGCGCCUCCCACCUCCGCGCAUGCGCCUUACGCCUUCCACAAUAUCACACCCUUGCCCGUUCACAUCUCGUACGCAUGCGCCAAUUCUAUCGCCUCAGUUCCUGUUACUAAUUCCUUGUGCCCUCAGCGGCCAAAGCUCACGACUUCGCUGUUGCUCCCGCGCCAGCACUAACCGAUACUCAAACUCCUCGUCGUCGUAUUUGUCCGAAUAGUAAAUUUGUUUGUGCGACAUGAUCGCUCAGUUUGCUAGCCUUCAGCCCCGCGCCGCCAACCUCCAAGCAACUCCCAACAGCAAGCGCUCCCACCCACUUUGG